GACGAACGCUGGCGGCGGGCUUAACACAUGCAAGUCGAACGGAAAGGCCCUGCUUUUGUGGGGUGCUCGAGUGGCGAACGGGUGAGUAACACGUGAGUAACCUGCCCUUGACUUUGGGAUAACUUCAGGAAACUGGGGCUAAUACCGGAUAGGAGCUCCUGCUGCAUGGUGGGGGUUGGAAAGUUUCGGCGGUUGGGGAUGGACUCGCGGCUUAUCAGCUUGUUGGUGGGGUAGUGGCUUACCAAGGCUUUGACGGGUAGCCGGCCUGAGAGGGUGACCGGCCACAUUGGGACUGAGAUACGGCCCAGACUCCUACGGGAGGCAGCAGUGGGGAAUAUUGCACAAUGGGCGGAAGCCUGAUGCAGCAACGCCGCGUGCGGGAUGACGGCCUUCGGGUUGUAAACAGCUUUCGCCUGUGACGAAGCGUGAGUGACGGUAAUGGGUAAAGAAGCACCGGCUAACUACGUG
rnacentral:rRNA from 1 species